CCUGACGCCUCCUGCACCUUCUGGGAGUCUCCGCCCUGAAAAGGGGAGUUGGUGGCUUGCGGCUUCUGAGAGAUCGGAAUCACUCCUGGAGGGAAAGGAAGAAGGAACCGACCAGAAAAGCAGGACCGGGACGAGUGGAGACCUUGCUGCGCUUGGAGACAGAGAGGGCUCGCUCCGCACCACUUCCUUCCCGGCACCUGAAUCUGCCCAGAGGUCCCAGCCCUCAGUCACCACGCUUUCUCGCCGGCGUUGUCCGCCUGCAGGCCCCCGUCCUGACUGGGGUGCACACCCCAUAAAGAGUAGUGUCUCUCCAGGCCCUGAGGAGACAACCUCCAACCCACAGAGGUCUGGGUUGAUAAACAGACAAAAACUGAGAUUUCUUUCUGUACAAAUGUGCAGUUGCAGACAAUCACUGCAAAUCUGCUUCCUUGAGGAGCUAACAGCCCCCUCGGAGCAAAGCUCUGGACCCCAGUUUGAGACACCGAUUUAGACCAACUCUACCUUUCGUGAGGCUCAAGGCCAGCUAAGCACUGCUGCUGAGACCCGCUCUCACGCUCCUUCAUCUCACGCAGACGAGCCCCACUGCGGCAGAGCAGGACCCCCCUCCUGGGUCCCUGCAGCUCCACAUCCCUGGGCCUCCAGGCCGCCUCCUUGCUGACUCUGUCUGUGUCCGUGUGCGCACAUCUGGGAACAUGUGCGUGUCUCUGGGCUUUGUUUUCCCAUCUGGACCUGGAGGGGAGUAGGCCGAGUGAUGGCAGCGUCUUCCCAAAUGUUGACGGGGAGGGAACUGAACAGAAAUCUUCGCACUGCCCUCCUCUGCCAGCUGCUGCUCUAAGAAUGAAGACCAAAGAAUGAAGUAGAAGGCAGGGCCGGUAUUCAGCGCCCUGCCAGGCACCCCCUUAGAGAAGGGCUCUGGCCCACGGGGCCCUUGGCUCCUCUGGUCCAAACACGGCUGGGCUUUUUCCAUUUCCGUCUGCAGUAGCACGAUCUUGCCCAUCCUCUGCCACCAUGCCCUUCACCCAUAACUGGGCACCCUGACCUGUCUUGUGUGUCCCGGUCUGGCCUCCACUCCUGUCUCUGGGAUCCCUGCAGCUGGUGCCUCUCCUGUGCCAGGUGGGCCAGGGAGCUUUCCACCUGUUGCCAGGAGGGCUGAAGGCAGCACAGAGCCCCUGCAGAGGGCCAUCCCUGUCCCCAGGCAUGGCAGUGUCUGUAGAUUUUGAUAAAGCAGGCAGACUCCACAAGGCCCACAGACUCCACCACUGUGAUAAGCCCCACCAAGGGCCCGGCUGCUAGCCCAGCACAGACCCGAGUCCUGGCUUGUACGCCUGGGACUGUGCCCCACAGCUCUGAGGGGCUGCUGUUACCACUAUAGGCUCCAGACACGUAACCCUCCACCUCCAGCUGGACCUGAGACAGCACUCCUCCACACUAGCUGCUGAUGGCUUUGGAGCUCCAGCAAAAGGAGUAGGGAUGCUAUCAUGGAAUGCUAGAGAGCUGGGAGGCAGGAGCAGACAGGUGUGAUUUCUUUCAGGAACAAAAAGACAAACCCUAAUGAAAAAAAUGAAGCUCUGAUGGUAGAAUCUGAGGCACGGACAGCUACUGAACUGCAGAUUUUGGAGUAGGGGCU